rnacentral:misc_RNA from 1 species
UGGGUUUGACAUGCUGGUGAAAGCUCCCUGAAAGGGGAGCCCUCCUUCGGGACACCAGCACAGGUGCUGCAUGGCUGUCGUCAGCUCGUGUCGUGAGAUGUUGGGUUAAGUCCCGCAACGAGCGCAACCCUUGCCCCGUGUUACUAACAGGUCAUGCUGAGGACUCUCGGGGGACUGCCGGCGUCAAGCCGGAGGAAGGUGGGGAUGACGUAUCCUCAUGCGUU